rnacentral:rRNA from 1 species
CGAGAAAGCCCGCAAGGGUGAGUAAAGCGGCGCACGGGUGCGUAACACGUGGGUAAUCUGCCCUAGAGUCCGGAAUAACUCGCCGGAAGGCGUGCUAAUGCCGGAUGAGACCACGGGAGCCUCGGCUCCUGCGGGAAAAGGUGGCCUCUGUAUACAAGCUAUCGCUCUAGGAUGAGCCCGCGGCCCAUCAGCUCGUUGGCGGGGUAAUGGCCCACCAAGGCUACGACGGGUAGCUGGUCUGUGAGGACGAUCAGCCACACUGGAACUGAGACACGGUCCAGACUCCUACGGGAGGCAGCAGUGGGGAAUCUUGCGCAAUGGGCGAAAGCCUGACGCAGCAACGCCGCGUGUGUGAUGAAGGUCCUCGGAUCGUAAAGCACUGUCGCGAGGGACG